rnacentral:misc_RNA from 1 species
AUAAUGUAGUUAACAUAAGUGGAGUGACUUUGUACUUCAGAUUUUUAAUUAGUUGUAGCUGACAAAACCUAUUUGGAAUGAAAGGGAACAACAGUUUGUUCAUCUCAAAGAACAGAAUGCAUGCCAUAUACUCGUGUACAAGCGACUUUGAUUGUUUUCAAUCUAAAGUGAAAAAAUGAAUGUGUGUGAUUUAUUCGGAAGAGGAAAACAGAAAUAUGUGAAAAAAGAAAACGUGCUGAAUACGAAAGCAAUGAACAAAGCCAUUUGGGAAAUAAUUACUUGGCAUGUGGUGUGCAAGAAAAGGGUAUAAAAAGGAAGCAUAUUGAAAAUGAAAGCCAAGAGCAAAGGCAUUUUGAUAAGAUUCAAAGGACAUGCGGUGUCCAAGCAAGGGGUGAUGUUGGUAUGACGAAUAAGUUGGCAAUCAGCGGCAGAGGUGAUGACAUCGGGAUGAUACAUUCAUUGGCAGUAAAUGGUACAGGAGUCAGCGACAGAAGAACAAGUGUCUUGGAUUAAGAACACUGGGAAAUACCGUGCUAGCUGGAAAUCUCAAAGAAUAGUGCCAAUGUGGAUGUAAACUAUAUAAGACAGCCAUUAAGAGUAUUGGUGGCAUUUUUGUAGCAAUCUCAAGCAACCAAGACGUGCCAUGACAUCUUGUUAAAAUAUAUAACUUAUUACAACAACAAAACUCCGGUGAAAGUUAAAGUUUUUUUUCUCAUUUAAAAUGAAUUCUAUUCAACCGCCAUCUUUCGACGUUUAUAAAGGAAUGGGGAUUAUAUUUGUACCUGAAAACUGUACAAAAAUAUUAUAUGUUUACUGUUGGUGAAUUAGAAAUUGUGCUGAUUUAUUUUAUUUUGUGCAAUAACAUGACUCAGUAGUCUAUAUAUUGCAUAUUUCUGAUCGAAAUGUUUUAGCAAAAAUUCGUUUCGAUUUCUAUUAGAUCUGAUAUCUUUUUCACUUUUUCUUCUUUUUAACUUUUGUUUUUCUUGGAUAAAUCUAUAUUACCAUGAUAUAUAUUUUUACAAUUAAACACAUUAUGUAUUGUUCAUAGUAUUGUUUAAUAGCAGCAGUUAGUCGAUAAAAUCUUGCCACUUUCAUUUCACAUAUUAUCUCCCUUAUACUGCACAAAGAAAAACUUAUGUUAAAGUUCAAAGACAGGUACAUGUUUUUAUAGAAGCGUGUGAAUAAACAGUGCUCGCUGCUGCAAGAAAACACCAAAGAUUAUCUAUGACAGUUGUUCGAAAUUUUAACAGGUUAAGCUAACGGUCGAUUCACUUAAAGUACUAUUUUGUUUGACAUUUUAGAAGACGUAGUAAGUUAAAUGUAUGAAUUAAGUAUUUUGAACCCUAAACAACCCUUUACAGGAAUAUCAAAACAUUACAGGAAUAAAAACAGCUGGCAGUUAGAUGAACAUUCGUUUAAACUUUCGAACGACUGGGUCCAGUACUCAGGGAUCUUGUAUAUUUUUCCAAAUUUCUACUUUUAUUUAUAAGAAUGUUUAUCAUUAUAAUCGUAAUCGUAUUAUGUUGUUUGUACAUAUGUAUAGAUAUAUAAUAAAAUACAUAAAGAUUACAAAGCCUU